AUGUACCACGCGGCCACUGCGGUUCUGAGCGCGCCGUCCGCGCCCACCUGACGGCUGCUCGCGACGUGUUGUUCGCC
rnacentral:sRNA from 1 species